rnacentral:tRNA from 1 species
GCCCAUGUAGCUCAGUCAGGUAGAGCACAUCCUUGGUAAGGAUGUGGUCAUCGGUUCAAAUCCGAUCGUGGGCU